rnacentral:rRNA from 1 species
ACGAAGGGGGCUAGCGUUGCUCGGAAUUACUGGGCGUAAAGGGAGCGUAGGCGGACAUUUAAGUCAGGGGUGAAAUCCCGGGGCUCAACCUCGGAAUUGCCUUUGAUACUGGGUGUCUUGAGUAUGAGAGAGGUGUGUGGAACUCCGAGUGUAGAGGUGAAAUUCGUAGAUAUUCGGAAGAACACCAGUGGCGAAGGCGACACACUGGCUCAUUACUGACGCUGAGGCUCGAAAGCGUGGGGAGCAAACAGG